UGUAAACAGAAGCUCAGUAACUAAGUGUUAAACUUAAGUUGAAAUGCCCCUGUUCCCAGCUGGUUCAACUGACUUCGUUCUGGCCUGAAUGCCAGUUCCCUGUCUUUCCUUUUCUCUAAGAACCAGCAUCUUGUUCAGCCAUCAUUGGGAAAGCUUCCUACUGCAGGAGAUGGGAACAAAUACAGAGACCACAGUUAGGCAUUGCACAGAGUGUGAGAGUCUUGGUCCCCCCUCUGCCCUCUGCUUGAGGACCUUUAUUAAUGAAGCAAUACAGCAAACCACUUAAGAAACGCAAAUCCAACUUCUUUAUUUUCAACUUAUUUUUAUUUCAUUAAAACUCACUAGUAGCAAGCCUA